UUUUCCUAAAAUUUCAUAGUUGCAUACAUUUCUCAUUUAGAGGGAAAGAAAUAAUGUGUUUAAUUUACUAAUCAUUUUUCUAAAAAAUGUUUUAAAAAAUAUGGGCAAGUUACACUGCCAUCUUGUGGUUAGAAGUUCAUUUACAGUAGCAAGGACUUCAUUAAUUCCACACACGUAUGUAUUACCUUAAAAAAAAAAAUCCUGUUUGGAACUUAAGAAAAUAUAUUCCCUACACACCUCCCUCACUUUAUUAUGUAAAAGCCUAUUAUAUUGAAACAAGAAAUAGCAUUUUGAGUGGCUACCCUAGAUAGAUAAAUAAAAAGAACUAUGCAUUUGGCACUCUAGAUUUUGCUCAUAGAAGCUUAUAAUUUACUAUUAGUGUAUAUACAUUCAAACCCUGAUAAUUUAAAGAAACAAAAUUAUGGAAUGUAGGAGUUUCAUUUCCACAAGGUAAUCUCCAAGAUCUACAAGCAAUGAAUAUGACAUUCAUGCUAAAACUUAUCAACAAUUUUUGCUUGAUUCAAAACUAAAUUCAAAAGCAAGACCACCACAGAGAAAAUAAAUAUUAUAGCAAUAAAAAUAGUUGCUCCUACCUCUCUUACUCAUACACAUAAUUUUUUUUUCCAUACACAGUUAGGAAUAAUUAAAUGAAAAAAUUAAUUCCAAAGUCCAGGCAUCUACAUUUUUCAAAUGUAUAAUUCUCUAUGAUCUAUGCCAGGCACCUGUUUCAAAUGUUUUACAGUGGUAGGAUCUAAUUAGAAGGUAACACACUUCUACAUCUAACUGUCUGCAGAAAGCUUUUCCUUUUUUCUCUAUUUUUAAGCAAAUCAACAAAAUUAUGGGAAGACAGUGCCAUCUAUAGGUGCACAAGGACAGAAUGUGAUUCUUCUAUUCAAAUGUGACUGUCCACUAUGAUACAGUAGCCAACUAAAUGCAUUGUCUUAGAAAAAAGCUCUAAAAUAACUUUGUUCAUUAUUGAAUCUCUGGAGAGAUACCUGUAAUUUAUUCCAAAGUAUUUUAACUUAUUUGUACAAUCAUUCUCCAAAUAAGAAUAAUAAUAACAGCAGCCACAUCAAUAAGAACAAAAAUAAUACUUCCCAUAAUUGUAUUAAUCUGAUUUUGAUACAUUUAAUGAUCCAUAAACAUUGAUAAUUUUUCAAGAAAUAUUAGCCUCAUUGGCAUUUAUUCUCUCUCUUUUUCUCUCUCACAAUGUAAAACUUUUUAAGCUUAAUUCUAUUUUAGGUGUCAUUCAUUUGUAUUGAAACAUAUAUAUCAUUAUUAUUUCUCCAAAGUUAUAUUCCCCCUGUAAUAGUCCAUUCUAGAUUUUACAGACAUUCCAAUAAAUUUGCCCUGUGUCUCACCUAAAGCUGCCAGAUUUAUGCAAAUGAAAAAGUUCAAAACAAACCUAUGUCAUGCAACUUAAAUUCUCUCCUUUUUCACAGCCCAGCUCACCCAGUCUGCUGUGGGGUUGCUCUCAUUCUAAUGAGUCAUUCUGGUAUCUGACCUGAUUGUAUAAGGUUCGUUUAACAAUUACCCAAGGAUUGGGGCUCAACUCAUUCCUAAACAAUCGCCUGUGGAGAAUGACAGAAAAGAGGUAGCUCUGCCAAUGCUGACAGAGUCCUCUGAUGGGUCAUUCGGAUUAUUUUAUACUUGUACUAUGGCUGUCAUUUAAAGGUCUGGCAAAAACAAGAAAUGGUUGGUUGCACCAAAGGCAGAUCUUGAUCGUUCAUCAAUGAGCGAGUUUCUAGAGCGGCCAUAAUAUUUUAACCCAGCCUGAAGGAAAAGAGGUCUGGGGCUGCCUGAUUUCUCAUUUUGCACACUAUGAGGAUGAGUGGGAUAAUGGGUAGGAGUACAAGCUCUGAAGGCAAAGAGAACAGAGUUUGAGCUCCUGCUCUGUCACUGGCCUUGAGCAAGUUAGUUAAUUUCUCUGAGCUUCACUUUCUUCAUCCUCAAGAAAUUACAAAUUAAUAUCAAUAAUUUAAGCAAAGUAAGGUGCUUCAUACAUAAUUAUCAUUCAAUUAAUGUGAGCACUUAAGAUUUAUCUUACUGUUUCCUGUUUGUCUUGUCAUAAUUAUUGACUAAUUAGGGAGGAUCCAUUUAACUCAAAUAAACACCCAGAGAAGGUCACUUGCAACUUGCUAUGUUAACAAAAAGAAUGAGUGAGAAAGACAACUCAAAAUAAGGAUUAGUACAAUGAUACAACAGAAAAAAUAGUAUUUGAUGGCCUGAUAGGAGUUUCAAAAUUUACCUCUGAAAUGUUAAAAAUGUUUAAAAAUCACUAAGAAUCCACAUAACUCUUGACCCCAUGUUAUUUCUACUGUAUGAGUUAGAAAUCUGUAUCUGUAGGACACAGAGAAGUUGGAAAUAUAGAUGGGGAAUUACCUGCAAAUGAAUAAUAUUAAAGCCACAGAACAGAUGGGCUUGCUCAGGGAGGUAAGAUUAUAUGGAGCAGAGAACUUAGAACCCUGAAGAAUGCCAAUUUUUGAGGAAAGGGAAGAAGAGGAACCAGCAAAGGAAACAGUAAAGAAGUGACUGGACAUGAAGAGAAGAGUAACAAUCAUCAGUAAAGACAACUUUAAGGAGAAAAAUUGGUCAGAGAUGUGAAAUUUUACAAAGAUAGGUAAAAUUAAAAAUGAAAACCAGUCAUUAACAGUUUGAGCAGAAAGGUAAAGACAGAUAUGCCAAUUAUAGUAGGUUGGAAACCAAGUAAUGAACUUUUCACAAAGGCUUCCAAAGAAAGGAAGAGAGACACAGGACCAUAGCUUGAGAUAUGGAACACAAACUUGAGAAUCACAACAUGAUUCUCUGUGGAUUAAACUAUGUCUUCCAAAAAAGAUAUGUUCAGGCCCUAAACCCUGGUAUGUGACCUUAUUCAGAAAUAGGGUCUUUCCAGGUAUAAUCAAGUGAAAGUGAGGUCAUACCAGACGGUAAUGGGCCCUAACUCAAUCCUAACUCAAUGAUAUCCAUAUAACAAAGAGGGAAAUUUGGACAAAUAGGAAGAGAAAGCCACGCAAUGACAGUCAAAGAACAUAAUGAUUGUUACCAACUACCAGAAACUAAGAGAGAAGCAUGGACCAAAUUCUCCUUUGCUGCCUCCAGAAGGAACCAGCCCU
rnacentral:lncRNA from 1 species